ACCCUCUUUUUAAAAUGUCCCUUACAGGGAUACUCAAACUUUGAGCUCCAGAAUUGAUGAGGACAUUUGUUCAUCUUGCAGGUGUCUGACCUCAUCCCAGAAGGGAUGGCCCACAUGUAGGGAGGAACCCAACCGAUAAGUUGUCAUUAUUCCAGUAAAUUCCAAGUGAUUCUAUUCUCAUCGGAAUCUGAAAAUCUCUGAUCUAGUCAGCCUUCAUUUUCACGUCUUCUAAAAAAAUAGGACCACUUCCUUCAAAGUCAUUGCUACAUGUUAUAAUCACAGUGCCAAGUGAUAAUUAAACAACCCGGCUUAGGAGUCAGGCUGCUGAAUAAUUCGCCCCCAAAUACCCAUGGAAAAUCACUUAAAAUUGUGCACCAGUGUCCUUAACUUGUAAAAUGUGGAAUAACAAUUCUUCAGGCAUUUGUCCUAUUUAGUGAACUAGUAUGUCUGUAACCUUUAGCAUAGUGCAAAAGUCCAUCCUAGGUGCCCAGCAGAUGUUGGACAUUACAAGUCCAAGAUUCCCACAAUUCCUCAUCAGAACCAGGCUGAUGGUUUGGUGUACCCACUUAUCCUGAGACCUGAGGCUAAUGCUGGAGGCUUUGCGAUUGUACGUUUCAGUCUGUGUUCAUGCAUUUUACUGCGAACUCUGACUCUCUAGUGAGCUAUCAAGGCUUGCUUGUCAAAAUGUACCCUGGACUAAUGCUGUUAGAAUUGCUGUAUAUGGGCUGGAGAGAUGGCUCAGUGGUUAAGAGCACUGACUGCUCUUCCUGAGGUCCUGAGUUCAAAUCCCAGCAACCACAUGGUGGCUCACAACCAUCUAUAAUGGGAUCUGAUGCCUUCUUCUGGUGUGUCUGAAGACAGCUACAGUGUACUCAUAUAUAAUAAAUAAAUAAAAUAUUUUAAAAAAAGAAUUGCUGUAUAUAAAAACCCGUUAGGAUUUUUGAGAAACAUCCUUGUUUUGUUCUUAAACACAUGUGUGUGCAGGUGAGUUUCUUAGAAAUGCAGGCUGUCCGCCCCCACCCCCAGGACCUACAGGACCAAACCCACGUUUUCAGCCGGAUUCCAGGUGAUUGCUCUGCAAACUUCUACUCAAGCUGCAGGCAUCCAGAAAUCCCCCAAAUUUCCACGAUGGAAGGCCUCACCCUGGAAAUGUUAUUAAGGAAAAAUCUUAAGUAACUUUCAACUUAUCUUUGAAAAUUUUACCAAAACCUAUUGAGAAAUAAGGCCGCUUGCUGCGGGCGGCCCUGAAAACCGGGGAAUCUUCUAGAAUUCCCACCCCGUUGCCCAAUCACGAGGCACGUACGGGCUGAAGACAGAAGCGAGGCAACAAGAACAACGGACUGUCCCCAAAGGACUCGCUGUGCCUCUGUGGUCUCUCUGUGUCUUUGCCUCGCUCUGUCUCCCAGCAGCUGAGUCUUCACAAGCAGUCAGCUCACUCAAGCAAGACAAAAUGCUUGGAAUGCCCCUGACUUACGUUCAGUUAUUCACACUCUCGAAGUCAUCCGCUUCACCAAGUAUGACGAGUCAGCGCCGGUUUGGUCAGCUGAGCGCACCGCCGCGGGCGAGUUCAAAGCAAUGGCCCAACCACUCUUCUAAAAGGUGUACACGUCAUCUGACAUAUUUCUUGGCUAUGAUACAAUUCCUGCCAAUGCUAAUCGGAAGACCUUGAUCUGGGACUUCCUAGCCCGGGACAGUGAGAACCGUCUUCUUCUGAGAUGAGCCUGCUUAAGACUUCCGGCUGCACCAGCCCAGACAGCACGAAGAAAGCCUAAAGUCGUCGUUGGUGUCACUGAUAGGGGUAACCCGUAAGGACAGGAAGCACGACAUGGCGAAAAAGUUGUGUUUCUAAUAUAAGACCAGAGUGAAGAGCUAUGCGGGUCAGGAGUCCAUCAUGUGUCAAGACACACCACUGAAGUCAGGGUGUUGGCAGAACCAUGUCCCUUCUUAGAUGAUAUCAGAAAAAGACAUUUUCUUGGCUUGCUCCAACUUCUAAAGGCUUCUCACAUUCCUUGGCUCCUGCCCACAUCCCCUAUCUUGAAGGACAGCAGCUGCCAUGUCAUGGGUCUUCCAUGACACCUGUUCCUCUAACCACAUCAGAAGAUUCCCUCUGAGAACUUUAAAAACAUGUGAUUUGUAAUGUGGGAUCUAUCAGAUAAUUUUAGAAUAUCUGUUCCUUGUGGUCUUAAUGUAAUCACAAAGGCAAGGCCCCUUUUAUAGUAUAAAUUAGUGUGGGGAGGCUAUAGAUUUGCCUGGGAGACAUGUUUUAUGACUAGCUAGGAAGGAUUGAAUAAAGAGGGAAAUAUCGACAUACACACUAUGUCUAUGUAGUGUUUAUGUAAUUUCUGCAAGCACUGGGGGCAGAAUGUGUGCCAGGCAGCUCUCAACCACAGUGACAAUAUGCCCAAGAUGAACAGCUAGAGAGGAGAAGAGACUUAUUUGGAUUUAUGCUUUCUGUCCGUGGCUAGUUUGCUACAUUGGCUUAAGUCCUAUGGUGAGGCCAGCCAUGGUCAAGCAAAGCUGUUCACCUCAUGCCAGCCAGGAAGCAAGUGAAGAAGGGCCAGGGUGCCAAUGUCUCUCUUAAGGACAUGUGUCCAGUACUGCUGCUGCCCCUUCUCCUCCUCCUGCAUCCUACCUCACACCGCCUUCUCAUCAAUUCCCCUCACUUCCUCCUCUUCCUCUUCCUUCUCCUCUCUUCCUCUUCCUCCUCACAUCCUCCUCUUCCCCCUCUUCUUCUUCCUUUUGGUUUUCCAGAUGGGAUUUCUCUGUGUAGCCCUUGGUUAUUCUGGAACUUGCUCUGUACCAGACUGGCCUCAGACUGAGAGAUCUGCCUGCUUCUGCCUCUGGUGUCCUGGGCUAAAGGUCUGAGUUGCUACCACUCAGCUCUUUUCCUUCUACUACUUUUAAGAACAUUUCCCUCUUUUUGGAGCCGAGACAGGGUCUUACUAUGUAACUCUGAGUGACCUAGUGACACAGGAAAAUUGGAGUGUCUUGAUCACAAUGGAGUCUUUCUCUGGUAGCUAGGAUCCCAGAAACUCAGCAGUUAUCAAAGCUGCCCUGAAUCUGCUUGCUUCUUUGCUCUUAAAUUGGAAGAAUGAAAUUCACUGACCAGUGAUGGUGAGUUUUAGAGAAAAAAAUUUAUUAUAGAUUUAUGGGUGGGAGCUCGAGAAGGAAAAUGGGGAAGGGGUUCCCUAGAAAUAGGAUACCAUGGGGCCUUUUAAAAAGAUUUAUAGCAGAAACCUCAGUGAGGUAGGAGGCAGGGAUGAGCUUCUAUAGGAAGAGGGGGUAGUAAGGGCCAGUUCAUGGUUAGAAAAGAUGGGACUGGUGUGGACUCUGGUGUGAGCAUGGAUAGCUAAUGUUGGAUGUCUGGGAGCUAUGAGUCAGCACAAAAUGGCUGAUAUCAGAUGUCCAGGGAACUGAAAAUAAAACAUGCUGUUGCUGUCAUAUAGCACUCCUGUCAGACUGCCACUUUUGUGUAGAUUUGAUAUAAAAUUGACCUCGAGGUCUGAGACAUGAGCCCUUUCAUUUCACCAGCCUGUCAGUGUGUCUGUCUGUGCCGGCUAGUGCAUGGGUGCCUGCUUGUCUGUGUGGUGGUCUUUGGCAGGAGUGAAUUGAGCUUAUUUCAUCGGCCUGAGACUUCUUUCGUCGUUUCCAAUCUCCUGGCCUCCAGUGACCCUCCUCCUUUCCCGGAAGCUUUGACCUCACAGCCUGUCAAUCCAGCUGUCUCACUUAGGGAAACUGGAGUAGGUAGCGUCCAGGCUUGGGGCUACUGUGUUCUUGUGUGGACAUGGUAUGCACAUCUUUUGGUGAUUGCAAGCACACACUUCUAUGACUUACACUUGGAUGCAAUCUUAGCAUUAUGAGGACUGGGUAUGCUUGGUCUCCUUGGACACUACCACACUAUAUUCCAAUGUGUUCCCAGCCAGCAGCGUACUUUCUGUAUUUUUUCUUUAUUACCUACCUGUUCUGUCCUGGAGUUCUGGAAGCUGGGGUUUGUCAGUGCGGAUAUGGCUGGCAUUCCCCUCACUGCACAGCACGGGCUGUCUUUGAACCCUGCUCGUUCUGCCGCAGCAUCCUGUGAGCUGAGAUACACUGAUCUGUACCAUCACCCCUGACUUAUAGCUUUGUUUUAUAGGCCUGGCUUUUUAGUUCUAAAAAUCUUAUUUAACUCCACGUCGACAUUAUUCAGUUCAAGAAAAUUGCAGAGUGUGGUGUGGAGGGGGGUUGCAGCCUAGUAGUAACCUGUUUGCCUAGUACAUUUGAGGUCCCGGGUUGAUUCCUGAUUAUAUAAAGUCUGUGUGCCAAAGAAUACAAUUUAAUAGCUUUGGGGGUGGGGAACCGCAUUCAUUUCCCUUUGUUUUGUAAUAAAAAUAUUCAUAGAUAGGGUGAAAAUAAUCUCUUUUUAAUUAUUUCCCCUAAGUCUAAUCGAAUGAAUUUCUGAUAGAUAUUUAUUAAUAAGUUACUAUAUACUAUUCAUUCCAGCUUAUGAUAUAGCCAUAUAAUAUGGCUUCCAGAAGGCAUCAUACUUGUGUAAGUUUUUGUCCUAUGAGAUGGUAAAACGCUUCUAUGCACAUAUGGAAAUCAAUAUCCCUCCCUCUCUUCCUCCUCUCCCUCCUUCUCCCUUUCUCUCCCUCUCCCUUUCUUUCCUUUUUUCCAAGGUCCCACACUAUAGCUCAGGCUAGCCUAGAACUCACUACGUAGUCUAGGCUAGCUUCAAGCUACUAUCCCGUUGCAUCAGCCUUUCUAGUGCUGCAAUUACAAGUAUGAGCUUCAAAGCCUAGGUGGCAUGUGAUGAUUCCUAAGACAUAAGCCAGUGGCCCUAUUCAUGACUUCAGUCUUGCUUGCCGUGCGGGCCCUCCUGCCUCAUGACAAUCUGGAUCUGAUUCUGAAUCCUCAGGCUGUGUAUCUAACAAGGAAAAGGAUUAUUAGAAAAGAGGGAAUUUAAUGAAGGGAGUUGGUGGCAUGGGUGAUGGGGUAGCUGAGGUAUAAAAGGUUAUGUUUCACCCCAAACAUAAGAGCAGCAGGGAGGCAUUUCCACCUUAGCCUGCUGGCACAGAGGUGAUAGGAUUAAAAACCAGGGCCCACUGGGAGCAAGAGCGAUCAUGGGUUUGUCAAAUGGAAGCAGAAACUUCAAUAAAGACAUUGCUCUAGCCCCGUAUCGGUCAGGGCACAGAAAAGGAAGGAACACCCUGCCUUCUCCCACUGCCUUCCAGACACAUGAUGGUGCCUCUUCCUGGCCAGUUUUCCUGGAAGAAGAGAAGGAAAUGGCUUGCAGUGGUCAGCAUCCCUGCUACAGAGCAGGAAAAAACGAAAGCAUGCACCUGAGAACAAACCCAGAUGGCUUCAGGCCUGUCACGUACAGCACUAGUCCUUCAGUUCUCGGAAGGGGAAAUCUGCAUUGGCCUGUAGAAUGCAAUUCUAUAGCCUUUACUGGGAAAAGGAUUCUCUGAUUUUGUUUUCGAUUAUCCUGGAUUUUAGACCAUUGACUUCUACGUGAAACAAAGGGUAGAAACACUUCCAGGGUUUGAGAGCCCAGUGUGACUGUUUCUGAAAGCAAGCCUUUGAUCUAGGGGUAAUCUACAUUCUCGACUGAGGCGUAGUCCAGUGCAGCUGCAAGACACACACGUAGGUGCUCUGGUCUGCAUGUUAACUCUCCGAUUAUUUGACUUUGAUGGUAGGAAGCCGUCGUUUGUCCUGGACCACUAUAUAUUUACAUAUGAUGAGAAAGCCUGUCCCCAAACAAUGUGAUCAGGAAACAUUACGGUUUCCUAGAUUAACUGCUUUUUAAAUUUGUUUUAUUAAUUUUUGUAGAUUCGAGGAUUGGAUAUACACUAGGCAAACACUCUAACAUUUAAAAAUCGUCCAGCCUGAGCCUCUUGUGUAUUUACUAGAAACAUUCUCUUGUCCUGGGUGACAUGUUCCCACUCUUCCUUACCGUCGCUAUUGGUUGAUUAUGAUGUUGGGGAUCAGACCCAAGCCCUGGUGCUUACUGAACAGCGACUUUACCACUGAGCUACACUCAGACCCUGGGGCAUGACGAUGUGAUUUAGUUUCUUCACUCAACUCCCAGUAGAGAGAAUUGAACCCAGGACUUCAAGCAUGCUAGGAAAGUGCUCUGCCACCGAGCUGUGUCUCCGGCCUGUGAUGUGACCGUUUUUUAAAACAAGAUUUUCAUGAAAGGCCAGGCAAAAUGGUCUUUGCAUAGUACAUCUACAGUUGCAGCACUCCCAAGGCGGAGGCAGAGGGUCACAAAUUCAAGGUCAUCCUGGCCUUUAUAAUGAGACCCUGUCUCAAAAAGAAAAGGGAAAGUCUUCAGUGAUGUAUACAGCCUACAUCGUCUGCUGUCAGGAGAGAACUGUGUGUUGUUUCGGAGGUGCAGGUUUUCACAUAGCCCAGGCUAGCCUUGAACUCGCUGCAUAGCUGAGGAUAACUCUGAAUUCUCAUUUCUCCUACCUCUACUUCCUAAGUGGUGUGGGUCACAUGACCAGUCCAGCAUCUCAUUUUUCAUCUUUGAAAUACUGACAUUUCUUUAACAAAAUCAUGAAACUCUGUGCCUCCCUUUAUAAACAUAAUGUAGUUUUUUUUUAAACAAAAAAAUCACUUACACAUUUUUUUCUCCUUCAUCAUGACAUUCUAUAAGCACAUUGUAUUCCACCCAAGAGGUGGUUAAAGCCAGCUUCUGGUGAAGACAGUGAGAGGGAAAAUCUAGUGAGUGUUCUAACAUGUUAUAGAUAGAUAGCUGACACAGAUACUCCUAUCAAGAUAAAGCAUGUGAUUGAUUAACAUUGCUAAAACUGCCUCAAUGAUUAACUCUAGCACUCAGAUUCGAGGAGGUGUUUACCCUUUAUUCAUUUCUGUAUGCGAAUUGUUUAUAGCAAGCAUGCUGGCUUAUCACACAUUAUAAUUUAUCAUGAAUAUGAUUACAACAUACUAAAAUCUCAGCACAGAAAAGUAACUAAAGAGAAAUACGCUAUUGUAUGAUUCCAACAGUUGCUUCCCGAUCAUGGGGUUGUGAAAGAUUUUUAAAAAUGACUAUUGCUUCAACAAACAAGACUCUGUGUGGGUUUCAUACUUUGUACCAAAAAAGGGGAGACGAAGCAGAUGAGAGGGUCAGAAGGAGUUUCUAGGGACGAACUGGGUAACUUAAAUACCUAAACAUGUUCACGCUGUUUCUCAGCUCACCUUGGAUUUUUCUCCUGGGUGUUGGUGGGAUCUAACUUCACACUUUCUAAUCGCCAGUAAUGCAUUUCAGAAUGCCUGAAGCACAGAGGGAUCAGGCUGCUUUAAAGGGCCAAAUGACUGGAGGGAAAGCCUCAAGGCUCCAACGGUUGAUGCCUAAGAUGCUUUUCCUGGGGACUCCCACUGAGUGUGUGGUCACUACUGUGCUAUUCAGACCCACCACUGACACUGAAAAUCCUUUUUAGGGAUACUUACUCCUAAGGGCACAGUUUGUAAGAAGUUUCAGUUUCUCCUUUGGUUUGUAAGAAGUGUCAGCACAGGCCAGAGACUGUCAGAAGCAUUAGAGUCUCAGGCUAGCGUGUUCUCAUGCCCACGGUAUCAGCUCACUUCUCGGAAGCUCACACAGCUUAGUUUUUCUCAGAAAUGUAGACCAUCCCAUGCAAAACAAUGUGGACAUUGGUUUUCCACCUCAGGGACUCCUUUCCUGAUAAACUGUCCUGUGGGCAGACUUCAGUGUGCCUGGCAAAUACUUGCGGUAGGUUUCUGAUGCCCCCAGGACUUGAACUGCACAGAUCACAAUCAAUCAAAGUGUACCGCUCCUGCCAGGAUCUCUGUUUUCUCAGCACCUACAGCCCUCCUUGGAUUCCCCUUCUAACUCAGGAAGAAUGGCAUAAGAACCAAAGGGUCACAGUAACCCACACAUCAGCAGGUGAGGUUUUCUUUGCAAAACACAGAAAAAACCCGAUCAGAUCUAUGAUGAUAUCUGCACUUGAGUCACCAAGUAGCCAUAGCAUUCGCCAUGGGGUUUUGCUGCUGGAAGCCAUCUCACUGAUGGAAAAUCACCGAAUUGCUUCAGCUCCCCGCUGUUGCGCUGUUGCGUUCGUAACUGGGAUGCCUCAAGGCUUCGUGGCAAGGGUUGCAGCUGGCAUAAAUAAUGUUGCUUUGUGACCUCAAACCUUUCCAAGGGCCAAAGCUAGGAAAAGAAAGAAGAGUUGGUUCAAAUGGCACAAAGACAGAAGUAUUAUUUAAGCCUGUGACAAUUUUUAGUCUCAUCUGUGCAUGCACAAAAAAAAAAUUUUUUUUUUAAAUCUAUUCUGCACUUGGGUACAAAGUACAUGUCGUACCCAGGAAGUUCAAAUGUCGAUUAUCAUUAUUAAUAUCCUUGGUUUCCUUGCUUGGUCAUUGCCAAAUAAAACAACCCAUUAAGUAAAAGCUGAUGCAGGAAAAAGGGCCGGGAGCAAAAUUGUCCCAGACAGAAAUGGGUAGCUGAGCCUUUCCAUCUUCCCAAGAGAGGCGUUUCCAGUGACAAGAACCAAGCUUGGAAGGAGAACGCCUGCGCAGUGUGUCAGGCUCACAACUGGUUUUUUGACAGUCGAAAGGAUCACCUAGAUGUCCUUGGUGUGCUUGAGACAGAAACAAGCAGUUCUGAAGGAAAAAAACAAAACAAAAAAAAAAAAAAAAAAAAAAAAAAAAA